GAUGAACGCUGGCGGCGUGCCUAAUACAUGCAAGUCGAGCGAACAGACGAGGAGCUUGCUCCUCUGACGUUAGCGGCGGACGGGUGAGUAACACGUGGAUAACCUACCUAUAAGACUGGGGUAACUUCGGGAACCCGGAGCUAAUACCGGAUAAUAUAUUAAACCGCAUGGUUCCAUAAUGAAAGACGGUUUUGCUGUCCCUUAUAGAUGGAUCCGCGCCGCAUUAGCUAGUUGGUAGGGUAACGGCUUACCAAGGCAACGAUGCGUAGCCGACCUGAGAGGGUGAUCGGCCACACUGGAACUGAGACACGGUCCAGACUCCUACGGGAGGCAGCAGUAGGGAAUCUUCCGCAAUGGGCGAAAGCCUGACGGAGCAACGCCGCGUGAGUGAUGAAGGUCUUCGGAUCGUAAAACUCUGUUAUUAGGGAAGAACAAAUGUGUAAGUAACUAUGCUCGUCUUGACGGUACCUAAUCAGAAAGCCACGGCUAACUACGUG
rnacentral:rRNA from 1 species